GGCGUUUCAUUUCCGAUCUAUUUAGUUCCUGAUUUGGUUCAUUUUGAAAGAUGCAGGAGGUGGUUGAGUACGCAGAAAUCGUUCAAGGUCCGACGAUUGGCAGAGCAAAAACAGGAAAAACUUCAGUCAAAAUCAAGUCUCAGGAUGAAGAGAAGAAAUGCUUUGGCAGGGAAGGAAUUCUCAAGGUGGUUUUGAUUACUUUGGCUUUGCUUGGAAACGCCCUGUUAGUUUACUUCCUCUUGGCCGACAGAGUGGGUGCUGCAGAGGAGAGAUUGGCCAAGUUGAUUGAAGCCAAACAGAAUUCAAACAAACAGAAGUAUUUUCUAGCUUCUUAUCAAUUAGGAUGAAACACUGAGGGGAAACGGCAAUGUGAUGAGGCAGAACAAAAUGGAUGUUACUAAAUCAAACUUUUAAGCGCAAAUUAAAAUAAAGAUAUAUUAAUACACCAAUAAUAAGUAAAAUAAACAUUUUAAAAUUUACAGACAUCCUCGGCUUUGGAAAAGUGCCCAAAUGCCCGCUCUGAAAAGAUGAUCAAACACUCUAAUGGCAAAAAAUACUAUUUUUUUUAUCCGGAAAGAGCAAACUGGGAUUUGGCCAAUCAGACUUGCGGACAAAUGAACUCGCACUUGGUAACGUUAAACGAGCAGACUGAGGUAGACGCAGUUGGCAAAAAAGCAUAGAAAUUGCAUCUAAUAGUAGGUGGUGGGUUUUUGCACGAAAAUCUGGCCACUCCAACUAUAUUUGGCAUGAUCGAUCCCAAUUGGAGGAGAAUAGCAAUUUUUGGAGACAAAAUACUGACAAGACUAAGGACUGCGUCGCUAUGACUACUUCAUCCUAUACCGGCUGGUACAAUAAACUGUUUAGCGCAGAUUGCAACGUUCAAAACUAUUUCAUCUGCGAAUUACGAAGCGAAUGCUACUGAUCAUUUCAAGCACUGAAUUCCUGCUUGAUAUAAAAUUCAACUUUUAAUUUCAUAUUUCUUAAUUAUUCUUAAGGCCAAUAAUAUUCCAUGAGAGUUGUAAAAAGGUUACAAUGAAGACAGCAUUUUGAAAUUCAGAAUUAAGCAAAUAAUAAUUGUUUGCCAGAAAUUGUGCAACGCUUGGAAUUAGCUUAUUUAUUUUCUUUUAAUAAUAAAUAUAAAUCUUAUUUCUACUUUAAUAAAUACAAGUCAAU